rnacentral:rRNA from 1 species
AGCGAACGCUAGCGGCGGGCUUAACACAUGCAAGUCGAGCGCAUCUCCUUCGGGAGGUGAGCGGCGAACGGGUGAGUAACACGUAGGUAACGUACCCUCUGGUGGGGAAUAACCCAGGGAAACUUGGGCUAAUACCGCAUGUGCCCUUCGGGGUGAAAGACUUCGGUUGCCAGAGGAUCGGCCUGCGGCCCAUUAUUUAAUCCUAGUUGGUAGGGUAACGGCCUACCAAGGGUACGAUGGGUAGCUGGUCUGAGAGGAUGAUCAGCCACACUGGGACUGAGACACGGCCCAGACUCCUACGGGAGCCAGCAGUGGGGAAUAUUGGACAAUGGGGGCAACCCUGAUCCAGCCAUGCCGCGUGUGUGAAGAAGGCCUCGGUUGGUAAGACACUUAAGUACGAGGAGGAAGGGUACGUUU